UGAGCCCAGUGUGCGAGAGGCGGCCAUCAGGUUCAUCGGGGUGGCCACGCGGCACCUGAGGAACCGAAACAAAGAGCAACUGGAUGAGAUCUGCAGUGCCCUUCAGCCCUUGAAGACAGACAGCAAUGUAGUCGUCUCUUCCCUGGCAGAACAGACCAUCGGCAUCCUGGAGGCUUUAGGACCAACACCAAGCCCUCGAUUCAGGCCAGAAGCACUGCUCUUCUGGCGCCGACGUUCACAGC